CAGCCGCCGCGGUAACACGAAGGGUGCAAGCGUUACUCGGAAUUACUGGGCGUAAAGCGUGCGUAGGUGGUGGUUUAAGUCCGUUGUGAAAGCCCUGGGCUCAACCUGGGAAUUGCAGUGGAUACUGGGUCACUAGAGUGUGGUAGAGGAUAGUGGAAUUUCCGGUGUAGCAGUGAAAUGCGUAGAGAUCGGAAGGAACAUCUGUGGCGAAGGCGACUAUCUGGGCCAACACUGACACUGAGGCACGAAAGCGUGGGGAGCAAACAGGAUUAGAUACCCCAGUAGUCCCUGUCUCUUAUAC
rnacentral:rRNA from 1 species